CACGUAGGGCCCAAGCGUUGUCCGGAUUCAUUGGGCGUAAAGAGCUCGUAGGCGGUUCAGUAAGUCGGGUGUGAAACCUCCAGGCUCAACCUGGAGACGCCACCCGAUACUGCUGUGACUAGAGUCCAGUAGGGGAGCGUGGAAUUCCUGGUGUAGCGGUGAAAUGCGCAGAUAUCAGGAGGAACACCAGUGGCGAAGGCGAGUCCCUGGAAAACUCCUGACACUGAGGCACGAAAGCUAGGGGAGCAAACAGG
rnacentral:rRNA from 1 species